UUGUUAUAAAAGGAUAGAAAACCUGUAUAUAUACACGUAGCAUUCUUUGUACAAAAAUCAAUUCAAUUUUUCAACGCAAUAGAAAGUAGAAAAAAUUCUCUAAUUUUCUAGUUGCAAUUUCUUCCUUCUUCAUUCUUACAAUUGCAUCGAUAGUUUCGGGUCAUCUUUAUUGUUUUGGUGGUAAGGUGUUUUGUUGUCUUUCUUCUUCAUUUUCACGUUUUGCUUGAAUUCUUGAAAAUGAUGGAGUAUGGGGUAAUCGGCGGUUGUGGGUUUUUGUUUGGUUAGGUGGGACAUGGUAUGAGCUGCUUGUGAUGGUGCUAAUGAUGAUUUUAGUGUGAUGUGUGAAUUGUGGUUUGAUUUGAUUAAGGAAGUGGAUGGCGACAACGAUGGCGGUGGUGGACGAAGGUGGAUAGAUUUUGGUUUGGUUGAGUAUUAAGGUAGGGCGGGGUGGGGGUGGGGGUGGCGGAGAAGAAGAUGAACUGUUAAUCUUUUUAUUUUCCAUUAUUUUACAAUUUUCCCAUUUAAAAUUAAUCAAAAUAUGAUGAAAUUGGUUUUUUUGGGGUUGACUAACGGUCCAGCUGCAAUUGAAAUGAAAUGUUUGGGAUUUUGGAUGCAAAAAUGAAAAUAUUUGUGGUAUAAUCUUCAAUGAUUUGAAAGGUGAGGUACCCAGCUGAAAUUUGCCCUUUACUAUUUUGCGCCUUCAUCUCCAGUGAAAACUGCCUCCAUACAUUCUUCGCUUGGUUGAUUUUUCUCAUUUUUAUCUCUCAAUUUUCUAUUUUUAUCUUUUUCUUUUUAAUUCUGAAAAAUAGUAAAUUGAGAAAUUUUAAUUAUUUCCUUUGUUCUUAAAUUUAUAGAUAAUAUAUAGAGGUAAUCUAUGACGUGAAAAGCAGACCAGAUGUUUCAAUGGUUCGAUUUUGCGGGACGGAGCCAUUAAGGGCCUAGUGGGUGCAGUCGCCGCUACUGAAUUUUCACAUUACUUCAACUGGGAUUUUUUAAAUGUAAAUUUUUCAGAUUUUUUUUUAUUUGGUAAAUUAUUCAGAUUUAUUUUUUUUUGGGUUUCUUACACAAUUUAUUUUAGUCCAUUUUCUAUCUCCCUUGCGGAACCAUAAUUUUCGGUCUGUCCUUGAUUGUCUUUGUCAUUGUACAUGCAGUUUGGUCUAGAUUCAUUGUUCAUUAACACUUAAUAUCUUAAGAUGUACUUGUACGAGUUUAAUUAGUAUAUUCAUGUUCUGCAAUACCUAUCGUGGAAGGAUAAUUGACUCGGGUAAACAUUUAGUUACAUACAUUUCUCUUUCAAGAGCAUUUCUUUUCAUAUUCCUUAUUCAUCUCUCAGGUUAAAGUAACCGAAUCAGAUCGCAUGUGACACUUUGAUGACAGUGUACUUUCUAAAGCAACUUGAGAUUUUGUAAACUUUUUUCUAUCAAGUGGAUGCUGAACUUAAGUUUGAUCUUACAUGUAUAAUUUCGUAUACGAGUGGAUUGCCACAUCUGAGUCAGAUAAUCCACCGAUAGUGUUUGAUAAAGACUUCAGGACACUAUCGGAUGGCUAUGUCUUGGUAAUCUCCAUUUUAUUAUUUUUUUUGAACACAUGCCUUUUCAACGCACAAAGGAAUUUUUUUUUAAUUGUUUUAUUUUUUUUAAUAUCAUGUAAACAGAUUAAUCUUUUUAUAUAUACUAAGGGCAGUAUGCCAGUGCAGCA